CCAUCUUCAAUUCACACACCACCAUAAUCGAAUUGAAACAAAAAAAAUUAUUCAUCGUAGAAGCUUACCUUAUUAAUCAUGUGGGAGUCCGGGUCGUCAUCAGUAUUCACGAGAGGCAGCGCCUUGUCUUCCUCCGAUGCCAUUUUGAUGAGAGUAAAGCUAGGUUAACAAAUGGAUUUUUGGGCUCGUAUCCUAUCAACGUCUU